UACGUAGGGUGCGAGCGUUAAUCGGAAUUACUGGGCGUAAAGCGUGCGCAGGCGGCGCGUUAAGACAGGUGUGAAAGCCCCGAGCUUAACUUGGGAAUUGCGCUUGUGACUGGCGAGCUGGAGUGUGGCAGAGGAGGGUGGAAUUCCGCGUGUAGCAGUGAAAUGCGUAGAGAUGCGGAGGAACACCGAUGGCGAAGGCAGCCCUCUGGGCUAACACUGACGCUCAGGCACGAAAGCGUGGGGAGCAAACAGG
rnacentral:rRNA from 1 species